ensembl:antisense Gm15638 predicted gene 15638
GGUUCACUGCAUUCUCCCAGGUGAAUGGGCUCCUCUAAAAAGAUGGGAGAUGUCGGCCUCUCCAGUGCACAGCACACUCAGAAUUACAAAUCUAAGAACCAUUCUGGGACUUUCUUAGGCUAUGACGAAUCCUACUUCUGCUUGGUCUCUGGAUGUCCUCUCCUCUUGUGACAUGCUUGCAUCCUAACUACGAGUUUUUAGCUGCUCACACUGUGGAAUCAAAUGAGAUCACCACAAAGUGGUCCCACGGAUGAAAGCACUCUUUCCACAGAAACUCACUGGCACACCAGCUAAGGGCACUAUCCAAGAUUCUUCUGAAGAAAUGCAGUCUUCCAAACAGCAGGCCAGUGACGACCAAUGACAAUCCUGCUCAGUUAGAAUUCUCUGUAGGACGCAUGGUUGGUAGUGUUGUGGCUCUACAUAAUAAACAAAAGACUGUGAGUGUUA